CUCAAAGGAAUAGACGGGGACCCGCACAAGCGGUGGAGCAUGUGGUUUAAUUCGAAGAUACGCGAAGAACCUUACCUAGGCUUGACAUUGAUAGAAUCCUAUAGAGAUAUGGGAGUGCCCUUUUAGGGAGCUUGAAAACAGGUGCUGCACGGCUGUCGUCAGCUCGUGUCGUGAGAUGUUGGGUUAAGUCCCGCAACGAGCGCAACCCUCGUCCUUAGUUGCUAGCAGUUCGGCUGAGCACUCUAAGGAGACUGCCUUCGUAAGGAGGAGGAAGGUGAGGACGACGUCAAGUCAUCAUGGCCCUUACGCCUAGGGCUACACACGUGCUACAAUGGGGCGCACAAAGAGGAGCAAUACCGCGAGGUGGAGCAAAUCUCUAAAACGUCUCUCAGUUCGGAUUGUAGUCUGCAACUCGACUACAUGAAGCUGGAAUCGCUAGUAAUCGUGAAUCAGCCAUGUCACGGUGAAUACGUUCCCGGGUCUUGUACACACCGCCCGUC
rnacentral:rRNA from 1 species